CGCGUUCCAUCUCAGUAUAGCCACGUUCGGUUGAGCUCGGAGUAGCCGUGGUGGCAGCGGCAGCGGCAGCGGCAGCGGGGGAAGGAGCUGGGGCAGGAGCGGUUCCAGGGUGAUGGGGUCCAGGCCGGGGCUGAGGCUUUGACAGCUGGAGCCGGAGUGAGCGAGCGGGGAGGCAGCCAAAGCCGGGGCGGGCCACAGCGAGGGGAGCGGGGCUGGGAGACUAAGCGGCAUCGAAGAGACCCAGGCAGCGGCUGCAGAGCCAGUGGCGGCUUCGCCUCCUCCUUACUGCGGACCAUGUUCGCCAAAGGCAAAGGCUCGGCGGUGCCCUCGGACGGGCAGGCUCGAGAAAAGUUAGCUUUAUACGUCUAUGAAUAUUUGCUGCAUGUAGGAGCGCAGAAAUCAGCACAGACCUUUUUAUCAGAGAUCCGAUGGGAAAAAAAUAUCACACUAGGAGAGCCUCCUGGGUUUCUACAUUCAUGGUGGUGCGUAUUUUGGGACCUUUACUGUGCAGCUCCUGAAAGGCGAGAUACUUGUGAACAUUCAAGUGAAGCAAAAGCCUUUCAUGAUUACCUCUGCCACUUCUGCUGUUGGGUGCUGGCUGUGUGCAGUGUUGCUUCAACCCACGCAGUUCAUUCGUGCCAUCCUGCUGACAUACGCUUCUGCCUGAGCGCAGCUGCAGCACCAAGUCCAGUACUAGGAAACAUUCCUCCUAAUGAUGGAAUGCCAGGCGGUCCCAUCCCUCCAGGUUUCUUUCAGGGACCACCUGGUUCUCAGCCCUCGCCACACGCACAGCCUCCACCUCACAAUCCUAACAGCAUGAUGGGACCCCACAGUCAGCCUUUUAUGUCACCGCGAUAUGCAGGAGGUCCCCGGCCCCCCAUCAGAAUGGGAAACCAGCCUCCAGGGGCUGUUCCUGGUACGCAGCCACUGCUGCCCAAUUCAAUGGACCCUACACGACAACAAGGGCACCCUAACAUGGGAGGACCAAUGCAAAGGAUGAAUCCUCCACGAGGGAUGGGCCCCAUGGGUCCUGGUCCGCAGACUGAUCCUUGGUUAUCAUUGCAGAACUAUGGCGGCGGAAUGAGACCUCCACCCAACUCUUUAGGCCCCGGCAUGCCUGGAAUUAACAUGGGCCCAGGAGCUGCUAGACCAUGGCCUAAUCCCAGCAGUGCUAAUUCAAUUCCAUAUUCCUCUUCAUCGCCUGGUACAUACGUGGGGCCCCCUGGUGGUGGAGGUCCUCCAGGAACACCGAUCAUGCCUAGUCCUGCAGAUUCAACCAAUUCAAGUGACAACAUCUACACAAUGAUUAAUCCAGUACCGCCUGGAGGCAGUCGAUCGAAUUUCCCAAUGGGGCCUGGUUCUGACGGCCCAAUGGGAGGCAUGGGAGGUAUGGAACCACAUCACAUGAAUGGAUCGUUAGGGUCAGGUGACAUAGAUGGACUUCCAAAAGUAAAAUUCUCCAAACAACAUAAGUGGCAUUAGCAACCCCCCGGGCACUCCUAGAGAUGAUGGUGAACUGGGAGGUAACUUCCUCCAUUCCUUCCAAAAUGACAACUAUUCCCCCAGCAUGACGAUGAGUGUGUGAUUUCCCUCCCCCUUCCUCCUCUCCAGGAUAAAGAGAGUCAGCUGCCAUUCGGAGGAUCUAAAAGAGAUUAUGCAAGAAGAAGCUAGGUGUAUUAUUGGCAGAGAGACGCAAGGGGGGCAAACCCCAGUUUUAGUUUCAUGCAAUAAAAAGGCUGAACUUUUUAUUCCAUAAAACAUGAAGGACAAAACUUAAAAUAUGUCAAGACGUGACAAGAUCCUUCUUGUGGUGAAGGAUUUAUAUAUGUACAUGACUUUUUUUUUUUUUUUUUGGAAACAAAUGGAAGCCUCCAGUACCCAACUCCAACCUCUUUGCUUUGUUCUUUUAAGCCUGUUGUAUGUUUGUUUGUGCUGUGCUACACCAGGAAGCUAGUCUAGAUCUGAAAUCUCAUGUUGUCCCUGUUGUAGUCCUAUUUUUUUUUAAAUAAACUGGACAGUUUACAAUUGGUGGUUUUUCUUUGGAAGGCCUGUUUUUGUUUUUGUUUUUCUUGUUUGCAGCACAACGCCUCCUCCUCCAGAAGAGACUCCUCCACCUCAUAGAAAGUUGUUAAUGCAGUUGGCCCCCUCAUAGGAUCACAUCCUCAAGAAUUCAUUGUGAUCUUACUAUCUAUGACCGUGGCAUGCACUGUAUUAGCCUUUUUUUCCCCCUCUCAGAAUACAAGGAGAGUUCAGUGCUUCCCCCUGCAAGAAUCCUUGACCUAUUUCCCCCUCCCCCCAAAAGAGAGAGAGAGAGAGAGAGGGUUAAUCUGACCUGGGAUUUUGUAACUGUGAUCUCAAGCUAACAUCUUUUGUUGAUUUUUUUUGGUUUUGUAUUUUUUUAAAAAAGAUGUGAUCUUAUCAGGGUUUCGCUGUAUGUGUUUUGGAACUGGAUGGAGAUACUUUAAAGUAGUUGUUCAAAUGUAUACUUGCUAUUCUGUAGGCUCACUCUGUAACAAAAAAAUAAAAACAAAAAUGAGAAAAUUACCUUUCUUGUGGUAGAGGUGACUACAGAAAAGUAACAAACCAACCGUGUUAAAGUGACACUCGCCAGAGUCUGGGGAUCCUGUACAUUACACUACCCUGUAGUUGGUCUUUGUUUUAUAAAUCUCCACUUCUGAUCCAUGUAUAUCAUAUUAUGUAAAAUACUAUCUCCCUGGAUUUCCCUUUGUGCCGAUUAUUGAGAACAUUGUAUCUUGUUUCAGUGUUUUUUCUUACCUUGUAGUCUGGUUCUAAAAUAAGAGGGAAAAAAAGUAAUUAUUAUACAUUGUAGUUUGUGUAUGAUAUUUGUUGAAAAUGUUUUAUUAAAGGGAUGUCUUUUUUUCCGCACCCCUUCAUUGAGAUGUUUUUUGGGAACAUUGGCUGGUUUUUAUUAUUCUGACUGCAAGACAUGAGAUGACAAACUUUUUUUAGUGUGUAAUAUGAAUUUUUUUAAAUGUUUUGCCUUCUUUUUCCUAGGCAUUUUAAUUGUGCUUUACCUGUAGAAGGUGGGUGGGGUUGAGGAUGGGGCUGGGGGUGGAAAAAGGGUUCAGUCUCAUAGUUACAGUCAGGUUAAUAUUUAAAAAUAAAAAAAAAAAUCAAAUGAAGAUUUGUUGUAUUGCUGAAAAUCCGUGGUCUCCAGAAUGGGUCAUCUUUUUUUUGUUUUGUUUUUGUUUUUUGAAGUGAGAAAUGACAGACCGGUUUUAAUGUAUUUUAAAAUGAAUAGCUAAAUUAUUGUCUUCAUUGGUAUGGGAUGGUUUUUGAAUGAAACAGUUCUUUUUUCCCUCCUCCAUGCUGUAAUAAAUAUAAACAUAAACAUUUGA